rnacentral:rRNA from 1 species
AGCUCCAGUAGCGUAUAUUAAAGUUGUUGCAGUUAAAAAGCUCGUAGUUGGAUUUCUGGUUUGACAAGAAUGAGCUUGCCACCGUUAGGUGUGUGAGCCAGUGCUCGUCUACCAUCCUUCUAGAAAGCGUGCCUAUCCUUCACUGGACCGGGCGUGUGCUCUAGAUCUUUUACUUUGAAGAAAUUAGAGUGUUCAAAGCAGGCUUGCGCUAUGAAUACAUUAGCAUGGAAUAAUAAUUUAGGACUUCGGUUCUAUUUUGUUGGUCUCUAGAACUGAAGUAAUGAUUGAUAGGGAUAGUUGGGGGUGCUAGUAUUCAGCGGCCAGAGGUGAAAUUCUUGGAUUCGCUGAAGACUAACUUAUGCGAAAGCAUUCGCCAAGGAUGUCUUCUUUA